GGGCGCUUAGCUCAGUUGGUAGAGCGUCUGCCUUACAAGCAGAAUGUCGGCGGUUCGAUCCCGUCAGCGCCC
rnacentral:tRNA from 5 species